rnacentral:sRNA from 1 species
GACUUCAAAUACUCUUUGUCCUGCCCCUGCUUGGCGAAAUUUACCGAAAUUAUCUACCUAUCCCGCUGGAGUGGGAGCCGGGGGAGAGCUGGAACCGCGUCUCUGCUGCUCACCUUUGUGUCCUUAGCUCCUUCGCAUGGGGUCCGACCGCAACACGUGCGCUGGAUAAACGCUUGUUAACUGGGUGAGAGCCAAGGCCUGUUCUUUCCACUUCUGGGGCUGUGACUUGAGUUUCUCCGCAGGAGCAGAUAGUGUUUGUGUAGGGACUGCGGACUUUUGCAUUACAGCCUCCCUGCUUUGCCCGCCUGCUGCUGGAAGCUUAACAGGUAAAAGUCUUGCAGUGAAAAACCCGAGGACCCUUACCGCAAGUGUCUUUUGCUCCCAGCUACUGAUACUGGAUUCCACUCGUGAUUCUCCCUUUCUUAGCGCAUUCAUGAUAUAGACAUCAGUCUCUGAGCUGGAGGAGGACAAAGGCAGCGGUCCUGUGAAUUCUAUGCUCUAGCUUGGGUUAAGGGAUUUGGAAUUGCACUUGUUUCAGAGAGCUCCCUCUUUGCCCACUAGCAGGGCAUUAGCUGGUGCUGAAGACAGUGGCUGCUUGGCGAGCCUGGAUCUCCAAGUGACCCCCUCAGCAACUCCUGAUGAACAGGACUGAAGCCAAUAUUAAAGCAAGUCAACCAAAGGUUCUCUGGUGUAGACAAGACAGCAAAAGGACAGACUACCUUGUGGAACCUAGCAUUGUUCUCCUUCUGCAGCACUAAGUAACAUUUGUUCUCCGUUAAGAUCUUUGCAAACCACACACAAGAAUUGCUGGUCAUCCUGCCAAUAGAUGCUGCUCACAGAACCAAAUUUCCUGUGCUGAAUUGUCACUCAUGGGCCUGAGAGUAGGAGACUGGAGACCAAGGUGGCUAGAAUCCAGUUGGGCCUGAUGUCUCCCUGUUGAAAGGGCUCCUUGUGGAAUGAAUAGCACAUGGCUCCUGUGGUGGAUCUGAUAGUGGCAUAGCACCAAGUGAUGCAGGCCUGCCAGGGGCCACAGACACAGAAGAUGCUCCCGGGGUCCCCCAUGUACUCCAGACACACUGCAGGCCACCUCUCCCAGCAGGUUGCCAGUCAUGGGCCCCAUCAUCAUGACUUCUGUCCAAGGUGUGCUCGGAAAUCUCUUCCUUAACUGUGACUUUCUGACAGGUGGAGGAUGUGGUCAGGAGUGGGAAAAGGAUUCGAGACGGGAAGAGGGAGGGGUUCAGGAUGAAGAGAGAUAAUCUGUGCCACAGAUGCUGGCCCUGCAGUUAGCUCCCACCUAGUCCGUGCACACACAUUCUAAUCCCCUCCCAUUCCUUUACAUGCUGCGGCCAGAGAGGCCUUUCUCAAAGUGGAAGUCUCAUCCUCACUUCUCUGGUUACAGUGCUGGGCCAUGGGUAACUUACAAGGCUUAGCAGGAACUGUCUGCGCACUCCCCCUUCCUGCCCACUACCUUGUUUCCCUCCAGUUGCGAGAGAAAACAUUGAUUGAGCAUUAACUAUGUGCCAGGCUUGUCCUAAGUCCUUUGCAUGUAUUCACUCAAACAAUCCUCACAACAUUCCUAUCACAUCUCCCAUUUCACAGUGAGGGUUCUAAAGCACGUAGUGGGUGAGGAACUUGUCCAGGGUCACACAACUAAGUGGGGGUGGAGAAACAUCAAAUCUAGGUGGUCCAGGUGGUGGCCAGAACCCAUCAGCACCUCACUACAGCUGCCUCCAGUUUCUCGCUCUAGGAAAUACUCUUCCCUGUCAACUCCUGUUGUCCUCUGGGCUCAGUUGACAUGUCAUCUCCUUGAGGAGGACAUCCUGAGAUGCUCCCCGACUAGGGUGGGCACCCACUUCCACACUCCAAAUGCCUAUUUGACCUGUGUAUCGCUGCAUCCCCACUGCCUGGCAGAUAGCAGGCCCCUAAUAAAUAUGAUUUGAGCAAAUAAAUAUAGUUCUUCAAAAAAUAGGGAGGACUUCUUGCUUCAGGUAAUGGUAGGCUAGGACAUUUGGACCAACCCUCCUGCAGAAAAUAGCCAUUUAUUUUGAUGCAAUAUAUCUGGCUAUGACUAGAGAUUUCAAAUAUUUGGAGGGCUAUUAUGUGAAGAACUAAACUUACUCUUUGUGACAUAGAGGUCAGAAAUUGGUCGUUUCCAUAGAGUAUGAGAGAGACAGAAUUGUGCUCAUCAUAAGUAUCUUUUUUAAAAGUUAGACUUAAUAAAAUGGGCUGCCUUGGUAGGUGGUGAGUUCUCUGUCACGAAAGAGAUUCAGCCACUUGCUCUGAGAAAGCAUGGAGAAUAUCAACAUUGUAAGGGUCGACCACCUCAUCUCUGAGGCCCCCUCCUCACUUAGGUUGCCAUUGCAGGUGGAACACUGGGCUGAGUGUCAAAGAACCUGGGUUCCACAAGCUGUGCGACCAUGGCUGGUUGUUUUGGAUCUCAUUCCUAAUAUCUGUUAGUUAAGCUGACCCGUCAAUACUGACCCACUUCACAGAGUUAUGAAGGGAUUAAAUUAGGUAUUACAUGUAAAUCUGUUUUGUUUGCUUUUUGUUGUUCUUUUUUGUUUUGCUUUUUUCUUUGCAUUAUGAAAUCCCAAGUCAACUUUUUCCAUUCUUUUAUUUUUUUAAAAAUUGACAUCAUCAUUAUAACCACAAAAUAAUUUUUAAAAUGGAAAAAAAAAACUCACCUGCAACCCCACAAUCUAAUACAAUAAUCAUACUUUUUUCCCUUUAUUCUCCUUUAUUGUGACCAAGGAUGACUUUGGGCAUUGCUGUGAGGAACUAUUUCGUUUAACACCCUACUACCUGAACAUGAUGCGUACUCAGCCUUUCACCACCCCCCAAGUAGCUACACAUGAUGUGAUAAUAGUAUUGGUGGUGGUUUUAGAGAGUUGGAGAGAAAACUGAAGUUGGAUUUGGGUAAAAGAAAAAAGAGUGGGAAUUAUUUUUUCUCCAUUCUAAAGCCCAUAAAGCAAUGUUAAUUGUUCCCACCCCUCUGCUAUUCUGUCUCCUCAGGUACUGUGUGCAGAAAUGUGAUUGAGAUUCAAGUCAGGGCCUCUCUGCCCUUUUCCCUCCAGAAACAAAACCAAGAUAAUUUAUCCUGAACACGGUGAAAAAAGGAAGGGAGGGAGGAGAAAAAGUCCGGGUCUCACCUGGGAUUCUCUGUCUCCUGCAACAUGAAGGAUUUAGCCUGGGAGGAGGUGGUGAGAACUCUGGGAGAGAAAAAAGAAGGAAAGAAUAGUUUUACCCAUGCUGAAGUUAAUUUAAACCUUCACCUAGAGAAGCAAAAAAAAAAACCCACACUUUCCCAUUUUGUGCCUCCCUUCCUAGAGUUUUAGCCAAAGGUUUAGCUAAGUAAUUGGUUUUACCAGGGCACUCACUCCUCCUAUCCCAAGUCUGUUUGACUCCCUCCCCAUCAUCCUCCUCACCUCUUUUCAGGCAGGGUGGGGAUAGCAGCAGGAGGAGAUUUUGGGAGCCUGGCAACUCCUGCAAGGACCGCAGGACAGCCCCUCUGUGGGGAUGCGUGGUGCCCCAUCUGCCGCCCUUCUGAAGAAUGCACUGCCUUCACUUUUUACUGUGUUAGAGUCCAUCCAGACUGUUCUAUCCAAAAAAGUUUCUUUUUCCCCCACAGGCAAUCAGGAAAUGAUUCCUUUCCCGACUGCUUCUGUCUAGUGCCUGGGAAUCUUGAGUCAAUCCCUCAGUAAGUCAGUGACUAGGGAAAUCCCUCUCUGAGACUCCCAGUUCAUGUUGCUUAGGGAACCUGAUAUUUUCGUGAAACCUGCCUACACAUGGGCAGCCCAACAGCAGAACAAAUGGUGGUGACCAAAGUGAACAAAGAAGUAUAGUUGUGCCAGCUUCGUAGUUGCCCAUGUGGACAAGUCAGCAGGAUCAGGACACGAGGAAGAGUAAAUGUGAGACAGUCAAUGUGACUUCUGCGAUAAACAGAUUUUUAAACCCCGAAAUUUUGCAAAAUUUUGGUGAAACCUGAACUUUCUUCGUUGCAUAUACUGGCACUAUCUGUACCAUCAUACAACCGUCUCACAUUAAAGCUAUUUUUCUUGGGCACUGAUGAGUAAGGUUGGUAUGUUUGAGUUCCUCAGAUCAACAAAAACCCAUUUUCCUGUAAGUCUUACAUUUAGUAUUUAAGGAACUAAAACUUAAAUACAUUUUGUGAAAUGGUUGACACUUCACUGAUAAUGAUUUAUUGCUUGGAUUAAUAAAUUUUCCAAAAGUUGUCUUAUGUAGAAUAUGGUUUGCAACCAGCAGAACCAUUAAUCUAUACUGCAAUGAUAUGCACUAUGUAUAAUUGUUUAAAAGCCUCUACUUAAUGAUGUAAAAUGCUCUAUUUAAUUACACAUUUGGGUAAACUGUAUACUAACAUCUGAUGGCAUUUUUCCACUGUUUGUUGCUUUUUUCAAAUACUUUAUUGUACAAAGCUGUUCUUAAUAUUUUUCAAGUUUUUUUCUUUGAAUUUUGCUAAUGUUUUCCUUGAAUUAUGAGCACUGACAGAAUGUGCUUAGCACUUUUGGCUAUUCACACAGCUUUUGAGCAUGAUUUGCAUCCAAUAUUUACAUUGCUAGCAAUAAUAAGCCAUCUGUGAGUUUUGUCAAAA